CCUGGAUGCUUGAGGCCUUCUAAGCUUGUGUUGUUGCUCCACAGGAGAGCCAAGAGCAAUACUUUAGCACAGCACAAAAUGAAAGUGGAAAGCUUUUCGGCUGAAAUUGUUGGGUGAAUCUUGACAUGUGGAGGAGUUUGUGACCUAUGCAGCUUGGGAAAAGAAGCGUGAUGUGCUGAUACAAGAACCUCUAUCCUUCAUAGAAUAUACAUUCAGUCUUCUGUCCAUACUCAAAGCUGUAAUGGGAAAUACUUGAUGCAAAUAUAUCUGGAGUGCAGCAUAUGCUAUUUCUAUGAAGAGAGCUAUGGAUUCCUACUGGAGAAAUCGUAUUUUUUGUGUUAUAAAACUCAAAUUCUGUCAUAGCUUUGUGGAGAUGGUAAACUUACAAUGUACUGUUUUUUUUUUUUUUUUUUAUAUGAAGCAAUUUAAGUAGGUCUUCUGAGGUACUUCCAUGAUCAUAUAAAACCAGAAUCCAUAGCCACAUUAUGUAUUAUAACAAUUUAAAGAUAUUCAGUAUGGUCAGCAAUAUGUCACUUUCAAGGGCACCACAGGUAGUGGGUUCUGUUCUGGGCUCCCCAAUACAGGAGAAACAUGGAGGACAGAGCAGCAGAAUAAGUUAAAGUGCCCCUAAAAUGACUAAGAGUGGAGCAUCUGACAUAUGAGGAAAGGCAUGAAGGGGUGAGACUUUUCAACCUGGAGGAGAGAAGGUUGAUGUGGAUCUCUACAGUGUAAAUUCCUGAUGGAGCAAUGUAAAGAACAGUCAGACUCAAUGGUGUCCAGACAUGGGACAAGAAGUAAUGGGCACAAACUGCACAGAGAAACUUGAAAGAUUCAUUACUGCAAAUAAAAUAUGUUCAGCAAAAUAUGUAAUUAAUUUUCUACUUUUAGAACUGAAGAAACACUGCUAAUGACAGUGGAUGUUAGAUUACAUGAAAUCUCCGUAAGUUUCCUCAGUUAGAAAGCUGUUGUGCUUUGCAAUGUAUUAUCCAGAUGUGACAUGCUGUGUAUCCAUAUAAUUUGUCUCAUUUUCUGACAUUUGCGUAUUCUCCCAAUUCUAGGUAUAGUAUAGAAUAAAAUAUGAAACCCUACUAUCAUAAAGGAAGAAAAAAGAAGAUUAGUUCAGAGUUAAAGCAGGCAAACUGACAGCAAAAGUUGUUUAACUUUUCAACUCCUAUCUACACAUUCACAGAAAGAAUGGCAUGAAGCUAUUAUUGCCACACUUGUCUGUGUACUAAGUAUGGUACAAAAGAUUUUCAGGAAUAUGUAUAAUUUUCCCUAUGUGCUGAGAUUACUAUAGUGCACAAGCUACUUCAAAUGGAGAGCUUUCUAUUUUUUCUGCAGUUACAGAUUUUCAUAAAAGACUACAAGUAAUUACUUGUAGUGUUAUUACAUGGGCAUAAACAUGAUUUGUAAUACCAUCCAAUACUUAUCUCUCUUAGAAUUAAUCCAUUUAAAACUCUUUAUAAUUCUAUUAUGUCACAAGUAAGAAAUUUUCAGAUCAAAUUUUUCCUUCAAAGUGGUAAUGUGCAGGUAAAUACAAGUUAGGCAAGAAUUAAGAAUAUUUAUUUGUCUAUUGAAGAGUAGUCAGGCAUCUGAGUUAGCUCUGGUCUGCCAUAGAGCUUCAAUAAAAAGGGGACCAGAAGGCAGAUUAAAAGACCACAUGGCUCUAAAUCUUUCUGUGGAGUAUAGGCUUUACUCUUCUGCCCAUUCCACUCUGAUUCCCCAAUAAUAGCUAUAUCAUUUUAUGUUUAAGCUGCUGUACAAAAUUACGGUGACUAUAAAUAACAUCUUACAGAGAAUAUUUUUCCAAGUUUCAUUUUAUAACAGUUAACUUGAAAAAAGAAUCUGGUACUUAUUAAAUCUGGAAACAAACAAACAAACAAAAAAAACCCUUCAGUUUCUGAUACAGUGUUGAUGUAUUUUUUUGGAUGUUGCUUUUGUUGUUGCUGUCUUUCCAAUUCUUCUUUGUUCUAGUUAUUGUAUCACUACAGUUUUGAGAAAUCUGGAUGAGAAUGAAC